AACCAAACAUAACGACUGAAGAAAGUUUAUACCCAGGUAUUGUAGUCAACGUCCAACACGCGGUUGCUACAAACAAAAUAAAUUACAAGUUAUAGACGAAUACAAUAAAAGAAACAGAAAUAACGAGCCGAAGGUAGACGAUACUUACAAACGUUGUAUGACUAGGAAGCUAAGGAACACGUAAAAGGAAAAUGGCAGGGCGGUAAAUGAAACGAGAUGAUAGUAGCGUCGCGAUGAAAAUGCACAAAUAAACUAGAAAGACGCAUACAAAAGGGGACUGAAACAAA